rnacentral:lncRNA from 1 species
GUGGCCUGUCUAGACCACACCACUCCACUGGGGCAAGGGGGGAAGGCCUGGGACUGUCACCCUUUGUAGUAGACACAAACACACAAAGGGCUGGAUUAGCCCCCUGAGUACAGUAUCCAAGAACUGGCUGCCCUAAAUAAUACUCCUGAGCAUGCUCCUGAUGCCACUAAGAUUUUCUUAAAUCAUCACAGCGAGAUGCCUGAUGUGUUUUCUACAAACUUUCCAUGAAAUGUAUCAAUGUCUGCUGCUGACCUCGCAAACUGUACCUGCUCAAGACCAGGGGAAGAGGAGUGAUGCUGAAAACCCCUCAGACGUGGCAGCACUCUGUUCUCAUGCCAUGUGCUGGGGUCCCAGAUGCCUCAGAGAGAGGCCUAUGGGCUAAUGGGGGUGGGGGAGAGAAACAAACCCGCAGAGAAAUACUGACAACACAGCCAGACAAGACCUGAAUAGGGGUCCUGUGUAGUGGGUGGGAGUGAUGGGGAGAAUGAGGAUUAAGUGAGCAAAUUUAUGGAAGAUGCCUACACGGUGCCAGGCACACAGCAGAUGCUCAAGAAAUGGGAACCAGUCUCAUUCUCGCUAUCACACAUCCUGCUGGGCACACAGAAUAGCAAGGCCUCUGCCUGUGUUGACUGCCAUGCCCCCUCCCACCCCCACCAUCUGCUCCAGCUUGCUUUUCUGAUCACUGAGAAACACACCAAAUUCUUUCCCUCCUUGGGAGGGAAAAGCUGUUAUUAUGUGGGGAACCCUCUGUUCCCCGCUCUUGGCAAAGCUGGCUCCAUCUCGUCCUUCUGACCUCAGGGUGAAUGCCACCUCCCCAGAAAGGCAUUUCUUGAUCGCUCCAUCCCCCCCAGGGUUAUUGUCUAUCAGAACCUACUGGCUAUUUCCUUCUUUGCAAUAACCAGCAGCUGCAAUGAUGGGGUUUAUUUCUUUGUUUUGUUUAUUGACCCACCAGACUUCAAGCUCCAGAAAGAGAAGAGCCAUCUGUGUUGUCCACGGUUGUGUCCCAGUGCUCAGAAUGUGCUCGGUGCAUGAUCAGCGUGUGGUCGAUCUACCUCUGCCCGAGGGGGCUGGGAAGGCCUCACAGAUAAAGGUGCACUUGACCAGGGCCUUGGAGCAGGGACAAGAGUUUACCUACCAGGGGCUGCGGAGAUGAGGUGGCAUGGGGCCUGCUUUUCAGUGGGGUGAAAGUACUGAGAAAGGAGACUUUGUCUCGGAGCAGCUCUGUCCGGGAGAAGACAGGGCUCUGAGUGCAAACAGGCACUGGGCGUUCCAACAGAAAUCCCCUGGGGCUGCGAGGGAAGGAUGUUGGGCCCUUCAUCCCACUAUCCCAGGCUGAGGGCUCAGGCCCCGCCCUCUGAUCUGGGCUUUCUGGCAGCCUUCUGAGCUGGAAUUUGUUUUUUACAAUGUGACCUGGGAAGAGGGUCGGGGACCUUAUCAGGUGGCCAAGCCCAGUUUUCAAAUAAUAAUCAUGAAAAUUAGAAGUAUUACCAUUCCUGGAGCUCUUACUAAGCAUCAACCACUGUAUCGGGAAUUUACACACAGUAUCUGUCUAAGCCACCGUCACCGCACAAGGUUGGCGUUACUUCCCCCAUUUUCUGAGGCUACUGAGAUUCAAAGAGGGUGAGUCACACGUCCGCAGUCUUGGGGCUGGGAGGCGGUGGUGGGAGCUUUAGACCCAGCUGCGUCUGACUGCCGAGCCAGCCUCUUAACCACAAUCCCCUUCUGGCCGGUGUAUUCACAGGUGAACAAUUCAUUAGGUCUGGCUCUGACCCGUGGGGCUGAGUCAUCAUCAGUCAGACCGCCUGAACCUGUUCCUCUCUGGGAAGCCCAUACAAACCUAAUCCCUAAACUGACAACACUGAGGGCAAGACUCUGAACUUUGGUAACCCUGCGACAGGGCUGCUAGUCCCUGCUCCUGCUCAGAGCUGCAGACUGCCUCUCCCCGGGGCAGGAGGUGAGCUAUUGCAGAAAUCCUGCUCUGCCAUGGAGCGCGAGGGCUGAGGGCUUGGGCAGAGAGGCAGACAGACUGGUUUGAAAUCCAGCCCCUGAACUUAGUAGCCGAGCAACCCUGGCUUGGGCAAGAUUUUUUUUACCGCUCUGCCCUUCAACCCUUACCCGUAAAACGAAGACAAGAACAGUCUCCUGCUUGUUGCUGUCAGGAUAACAUGAAAAAACACAGCAAGCUUUCAGCCCGUGGGAGCCUUAUUAUCACUGCUGUCAUUACCAGUCUUAAGGGGAGGUGUAUACAACAAAGUGGGUUUGAAUCCUGGUGCCAUCACUUUUUAGCCAUGUGACUUUAAGCAAGUUUACUAACCUUCUCAAUUCCUCACCUUUAAUUUAGGAAGUUUCGGGGGGGAGGGGUGGGGGAGUCCGGUGCCCUCCUCCUUAAAUUAAAAUCAGCUUCUGUGAAGGAAUUGGGAAAUGCCAGAGGUAGGGGAUGAUUCUUGUCACGUAUGGACAGCGUCUGCCCUAAGCCGUGGUCUGUCAGGAGGCAGCCAAGGACUUCUGGACCAUCUGAAUCUCAUCAGAGCGUCCAGGGUGUGGUCUCCAGAGCGCGGCUGUGGCAGCUGGUCUGAAGCUUUCGACUAGUUUGUGUGCGUUUGAGCUGAAAGAAGACUGCUGUACGCAAGGAGCGUGGCUCCUCAUGUGAAACUACAGGUGCUAUGGUGAGGCCAUUGCCCAGGACUGAGGAGGGAUCCACACAGCAAGAGAGGGUGCAGCUGGCAUCAAUCUUCGGGGUCAAAGCCAACUCACGAUUUGUAAUCAGACCCUUGAAACCAAAACCUACAUGGAUGUAAUGACGUUACAUCUUGGGCCAAGUCAGCAGACUGUCCUGAGAACAAUGCAACCCGUCUUGAGACCACACAGUGCUUCCGGCUUCCAGACACAGCAGGUGCUGUUGCUUCCAUGAGUAAUGUCAUCACUUCAUACACAAGGGGAAAGAGAGGAAGGAACAGGCAUCCUGGUCCCUGGACACCAAGAUUUCAUUUUGAUUGUCUGUGAUCUCCAUAUUCUGGAAUCAUAUGCAUGUACUCUUGUGUCUGGCUCCCCUUUCUCAACGUCAGGAACGACACACACACACUAUGAUGGCACAGGGAGAGGAGAGCACUUGAAUGGGCAGAUCCCAAAGUCUUACUGGCUGGGUUGACCAAGGAGCCCGUGAAAACAACCUAAACCAAACACCCAAGGGUGGACCUGGAUGCACCUUGGCAAAGACCUUAUGCUCCUCCCGAGCCCCAAAGGUGGCAAUGUGGCACAUGGGUGGGAUCUGAUUCCAGUGCUCUCAGAAUGAGACCCUUGGCAGGUUCAGUUCUCAGCCUCUUCAUUGGUAAAACUUGGGGGAUUAAAUCUAUCAGGCAGAGCUGUUGUGAAAGUAAAUGCAACCAUGUACGUAAAUAGGCUGUUAUAUCAAUUUGGGUUUGAUGAGGAAAGCAGA